rnacentral:rRNA from 1 species
GGGGUGACUGCGUACCUUUUGUAUAAUGGGUCAGCGACUUAUAUUCUGUAGCAAGGUUAACCGCAUAGGGGAGCCGAAGGGAAACCGAGUCUUAACCGGGCGUUAAGUUGCAGGGUAUAGACCCGAAACCCGGUGAUCUAGCCAUGGGCAGGUUGAAGGUUGGGUAACACUAACUGGAGGACCGAACCGACUAAUGUUGAAAAAUUAGCGGAUGACCUGUGGCUGGGGGUGAAAGGCCAAUCAAACCGGGAGAUAGCUGGUUCUCCCCGAAAGCUAUUUAGGUAGCGCCUCGUGAACUCAUCUCCGGGGGUAGAGCACUGUUUCGGCUAGGGGGCCAUCCCGGCUUACCAACCCGAUGCAAACUGCGAAUACCGGAGAAUGUUAUCACGGGAGACACACGGCGGGUGCUAACGUCCGUCGUGAAGAGGGAAACAACCCAGACCGCCAGCUAAGGUCCCAAAGUCAUGGUUAAGUGGGAAACGAUGUGGGAAGGCCCAGACAGCCAGGAUGUUGGCUUAGAAGCAGCCAUCAUUUAAAGAAAGCGUAAUAGCUCACUGGUCGAGUCGGCCUGCGCGGAAGAUGUAACGGGGCUAAACCAUGCACCGAAGCUGCGGCAGCGACACUUUAGUGUUGUUGGGUAGGGGAGCGUUCUGUAAGCCGUUGAAGGUGUCCUGUGAGGGGUGCUGGAGGUAUCAGAAGUGCGAAUGCUGACAUAAGUAACGAUAAAGCGGGUGAAAAGCCCGCUCGCCGGAAGACCAAGGGUUCCUGUCCAACGUUAAUCGGGGCAGGGUGAGUCGACCCCUAAGGCGAGGCCGAAAGGCGUAGUCGAUGGGAAACGGGUUAAUAUUCCCGUACUUGGUGUUACUGCGAAGGGGGGACGGAGAAGGCUAUGUUGGCCGGGCGACGGUAGUCCCGGUUUAAGCGUGUAGGUGUGUGUUCCAGGCAAAUCCGGUUCACUUUAACACUGAGGCGUGAUGACGAGGCACCACGGUGCUGAAGCAACAAAUGCCCUGCUUCCAGGAAAAGCCUCUAAGCAUCAGGUAACAUCAAAUCGUACCCCAAACCGACACAGGUGGUCAGGUAGAGAAUACCAAGGCGCUUGAGAGAACUCGGGUGAAGGAACUAGGCAAAAUGGUGCCGUAACUUCGGGAGAAGGCACGCUGACACGUAGGUGAAGUGAUUUACUCACGGAGCUGAAGUCAGUCGAAGAUACCAGCUGGCUGCAACUGUUUAUUAAAAACACAGCACUGUGCAAACACGAAAGUGGACGUAUACGGUGUGACGCCUGCCCGGUGCCGGAAGGUUAAUUGAUGGGGUCAGCGCAAGCGAAGCUCCUGAUCGAAGCCCCGGUAAACGGCGGCCGUAACUAUAACGGUCCUAAGGUAGCGAAAUUCCUUGUCGGGUAAGUUCCGACCUGCACGAAUGGCGUAAUGAUGGCCAGGCUGUCUCCACCCGAGACUCAGUGAAAUUGAACUCGCUGUGAAGAUGCAGUGUACCCGCGGCAAGACGGAAAGACCCCGUGAACCUUUACUAUAGCUUGACACUGAACAUUGAGCCUUGAUGUGUAGGAUAGGUGGGAGGCUUUGAAGCGUGGACGCCAGUCUGCGUGGAGCCGACCUUGAAAUACCACCCUUUAAUGUUUGAUGUUCUAACGUGGACCCGUAAUCCGGGUUGCGGACAGUGUCUGGUGGGUAGUUUGACUGGGGCGGUCUCCUCCUAAAGAGUAACGGAGGAGCACGAAGGUUGGCUAAUCCUGGUCGGACAUCAGGAGGUUAGUGCAAUGGCAUAAGCCAGCUUGACUGCGAGCGUGACGGCGCGAGCAGGUGCGAAAGCAGGUCAUAGUGAUCCGGUGGUUCUGAAUGGAAGGGCCAUCGCUCAACGGAUAAAAGGUACUCCGGGGAUAACAGGCUGAUACCGCCCAAGAGUUCAUAUCGACGGCGGUGUUUGGCACCUCGAUGUCGGCUCAUCACAUCCUGGGGCUGAAGUAGGUCCCAAGGGUAUGGCUGUUCGCCAUUUAAAGUGGUACGCGAGCUGGGUUUAGAACGUCGUGAGACAGUUCGGUCCCUAUCUGCCGUGGGCGCUGGAGAAUUGAGGGGGGCUGCUCCUAGUACGAGAGGACCGGAGUGGACGCAUCACUGGUGUUCGGGUUGUCAUGCCAAUGGCACUGCCCGGUAGCUAAAUGCGGAAAAGAUAAGUGCUGAAAGCAUCUAAGCACGAAACUUGCCCCGAGAUGAGUUCUCCCUGAGACUUUGAGUCUCCUGAAGGAACGUUAAAGACGAUGACGUUGAUAGGCCGGGUGUGUAAGCGCAGCGAUGCGUUGAGCUAACCGGUACUAAUGAACCGUGAGGCUUAACCUUACAACGCCGAAGGUGUUU